AUUACAUCGUUUUUCUCAAAGGGGAAAAUAUAAGAAAAACUGCUACAUAGUCUUACCUCUAGAAAGCCUGAAGUACAUGGAGGAAAGAAGAAAUCCAUUUGAAUGGAAGAAGCAUUCCAAGUGACAGAAUGUAUCAGAACAUUUAAAGAAGAAAGAAGGACAUCAUUUUGAAUCAUGAGGCCUACUGGAAAAAUAAACAACAAAAAACAAGCAAGCAAAAUACAGUGGAGAGAGCUGAUAGAGCAGUAGAAAGUCUCCUGGAAUAUCCCCACAGGCUGCUGGUGUCUGUGAGAUACAUGACUAUAAUCCAACAUUUGUGCAAUUUCAACAAAAAACAUUUGAACAUGCAGUAAAUCACUGGAGGUUACCGGGGAAGAAAGGACCUGCAGCCUUGAACAAAGACGGAUUUAGAAAUAUGCUCAGCAAUACCAAUGAAUAGUACAAGAGAAUCUAGGAUAAAGGAAACAGACUGGAAAAUAAACCAUCCUAGAAAGAAAAGUUCAGAGAAUGAGAACCCCUGGACUGUCUCAGAAAAAAAAAAAAAAAAGAAAAGAAAAAAACAGAAACGCA
rnacentral:lncRNA from 1 species